UACGGAGGAGGCAAGCGUUAUCCGGCAUUAUUGGGCGUAAAGCGUUCGUAGGUGGUUGACCAAGUCUGCUGUCAAAGGGAGGGACUUAACCUCAUAAUGGCAGUGGAAACUGGAGAGUUAGAGUGCGGUAGGGGUAAGGGGAAUUCCCAGUGUAGCGGUAAAAUGCGUAGAGAUUGGGAAGAACAUCGGUGGCGAAAGCGCGAUACUGGGCCGGAACUAGCACUGAGGGACGAAAGCUAGGGCAGCGAAAGGG
rnacentral:rRNA from 1 species